rnacentral:tmRNA from 1 species
GGGGGUGAUCGGUUUCGAUAUAAGUGUGAAUUUAUACUUUGCGUAGAGAGAUCUCCGAACUCUCUUAAAACAUCGGAAACAAAGUAAGUGCAAAUAAACUUACACCUGCUUACGCUUAAGUAAGCCGUCAUCACGACUGACUGAUCUGCUAGGUCGUAGUGGCGUCACAUUCGCAGAUCUGCAUUUGCGAUUUCUCCCUUGAUCGCAAAUCAAGCAACAAAGGGAAAAACCUGAGAUAAACGCUGUCGUCUGCGCUUCUCAGGGGUUCAUAGGCGACUACCUGCGUAGAACGGUAUAGACAAACACUUGUAGACGGGAGUUCGAUUCUCCCCACCUCCACCA